CUGCAGUCGAACGAUGAAGCCCAGCUUGCUGGGUGGAUUAGUGGCGAACGGGUGAGUAACACGUGAGUAACCUGCCCUUAACUCUGGGAUAAGCCUGGGAAACUGGGUCUAAUACCGGAUAGGAGCGCCUACCGCAUGGUGGGUGUUGGAAAGAUUUAUCGGUUUUGGAUGGACUCGCGGCCUAUCAGCUUGUUGGUGAGGUAAUGGCUCACCAAGGCGACGACGGGUAGCCGGCCUGAGAGGGUGACCGGCCACACUGGGACUGAGACACGGCCCAGACUCCUACGGGAGGCAGCAGUGGGGAAUAUUGCACAAUGGGCGAAAGCCUGAUGCAGCGACGCCGCGUGAGGGAUGACGGCCUUCGGGUUGUAAACCUCUUUCAGUAGGGAAGAAGCGAAAGUGACGGUACCUGCAGAAGAAGCACCGGCUAACUACGUGCCAGCAGCCGCGGUAAUACGUAGGGUGCGAGCGUUAUCCGGAAUUAUUGGGCGUAAAGAGCUCGUAGGCGGUUUGUCGCGUCUGUCGUGAAAGUCCGGGGCUUAACCCCGGAUCUGCGGUGGGUACGGGCAGACUAGAGUGCAGUAGGGGAGACUGGAAUUCCUGGUGUAGCGGUGGAAUGCGCAGAUAUCAGGAGGAACACCGAUGGCGAAGGCAGGUCUCUGGGCUGUAACUGACGCUGAGGAGCGAAAGCAUGGGGAGCGAACAGGAUUAGAUACCCUGGUAGUCCAUGCCGUAAACGUUG
rnacentral:rRNA from 1 species